rnacentral:rRNA from 1 species
AUUGAACGCUGGCGGCAUGCUUUACACAUGCAAGUCGAACGGUAACAGGGAGCUUGCUCUGCUGUCGAGUGGCGAACGGGUGAGUAAUAUAUCGGAACGUACCCAAGCUUGGGGGAUAACGUAACUAAAGUUACGCUAAUACCGCAUACGAUCUUAUGAUGAAAGCAGUGGUUCUUCGGGCCUUGUGCUCCUUGCGCUGCCGAUUUCGCAUUUGCUAGUUGGUUAGGUAAAGGAUUACCAAGGCGACGAGCAAUAGCUGAUGUGAGAGGACGACCUGCCAAACGGGAACUGAGACGCGGUCCAGACUACUACGGGAGGCAGCAGUAGGGAAUGUUCAGCAAUGGGCGGAAGACUGACGGAGCAACGCCGCGUGAGUGAUGAAGGUCUUCGGAUAGUAAAACUCUGUUAUUAGGGAAGAAAAUAGGUGUAAGUAACUGGGCACAUCUUGACGGUACCUAAUCAGAAAGCCACGGCUAACUACGUG